GGUGGUGUAGUCUGAGCAUUGGACUACGAAUCUGAAGGUCAGGGUUCGAUUCCCUGCUCCACCA